AGCUCCUUGUUGGAGAAGCAGGGCACGUGCAAGUGUGCAACUCUUGGCUCUCUUAAACGCCAUAGAACUCAUUUGCACGUGCUCCCCUUCUCCAACACGGCUUC
rnacentral:pre_miRNA from 1 species